UUGCUGCCCAGGCGGGUGAGGAGGUGGAGGUGGAGGUGCGAGGCGGCGCCAUGUUAGUCACAGCCGCGCACCUGGAGGCGCCGGAAGCCAGGCUGAGGAGAUCCCUCCGGCCGGUUGUGAGCCGGCUGCGCGGCGGUGCGGCUGUGUUUGCCGCCCGGUUGGGAGAUUUCCAAGCUGAUUGCAGGCGUCUCUGGAGGCGUGCGUACGUGGCCAAGGUCCAGUGUGCCCCUGAAAUACCGGUGGCUUUGGGGUGAGGCGGGUGCAGGCAGUGUGGAGGAAGAAGCUGACUCUGGUAGCAGAGACGGGAGAGCCCAGAAGUGCAAGAAGCAGCUUUGUGAGCAGAGAAGGAGCCAGAGGAGGAAGGCCAGAAUCUGCCACUUGUAGCUACCACUGAGUGGAAGGUGGGCAUCAGUUGUGGAACACUUGGAUACUGCUGUGAAGAGUCUCACAGUAAGGAAAGACUGAGAAGUAACAGUUCCUGUAUUCUGUGAAGAGUGAAGUAUUUCAGUGAAGAAAAAAAGCAGAGAAUGAAAAGAAGCUUGAAGAGAACAAAAGAAGAUGAGCACUGUUAUGAACACAAGCUGAAGCUGAAGUCUUGCAAAGAGUGAAAGAGCAUCAGAAUGUAUAAUCGGACUAUUUUAUGGUGUGUGACGACAGCGACAUAAGGAGAUUUAUUUAUGUUUAUGUGGCAGUUUUCUGAUACCCGAUUCUGGUUAUGUUCUUCCAAUAUAGAUCUUUAAUAAUUAAAAGAAAUAUAUAUUUAUGUAGUACUAAUUUGUGUAUGAAGUAACAAAUGUUACUGUCGGGCUAAACUUUCUUUGGUUGUCUGAUACCAUUAAAUGAUUGGACCAGU